rnacentral:rRNA from 1 species
AGCGAACGCUGGCGGCAUGCUUAACACAUGCAAGUCGCACGGGUGGGUUUCGGCUCAUCAGUGGCGGACGGGUGAGUAACGCGUAGGUAUCUGUCUUGGGGUGGGGACGAACCACGGAAACGUAGUGGCUAAUACCGCAUGACACCUGAGGGUCGAAAGCUCGCAAGAGCGCCUGGGGAGGGAGCCUGCGUCCGAUUAGCUUGUUGGGUGGGGUAAAGGGCCUACCAAGGCUGCGANCGGUAGCUGGUCUGAGAGGAUGAUCAGCCACACUGGGGAC